AGCGCACACUGCGUCAGCCGGACUUGCUCUGCAGCUGGGUUCUUUGGAGGCCCCCACUCCGCGGCUACUGAAGCGGAUGAGUCUACACCUGGAUCUCCCGAGGGCAUCUCCUAAUUCCUUGAUAUCCCGGGGCCUAGCACACGAUGGAUACUCAGCACUUCUAAGCUGAGUUACUGCAUCUUCCUUUGCAAGGUCUCACGCAGUCCCCCAUCGUCCUCUCUUUGUCUUGGUGCCCACCACCUCCUUCACCACCAUGCAGACCCUCCCCACCCCUCACCACAGCACUGCCUCGGUCAUCAACCCCGCUUCCCGCCUUUCAUCACUGCUACUGUCAGGCUGAAGAGUCACAGGAGGUUCCUCACUGUAAAGAAUGGAUUCUGCGCUCCUUAGAUUAGCAUUCCGAGAUGUCCAGGUGCAGCCCUACACCUAUUUCCAGCCUUGCCUCGCCUCUGGAGCAGGCUUUAUAAACUGCGCCGCGUGGCCCUUCCUUUGCUCUCUACUUCCUCUUCGUGCUCUCCCAUCUUACCUCUGAGCUUUACCUACUUGUCUUACUCCAGUUUCAGCACCUCGCUCAAAAGCCACGGCUCUCACGAGUUUUCCCUCAAUUCUGAGCCUAUGUAUUUCCUUGCUCCAAGGUUUGUGGCAAUUUAGCACUUGCCCAUUGUGUCCUGUAUCAUAAGAUUCUGUGUACUAACUUUCUUCUUCAAGGAGUUAAAAACACUUUCAGAGAAGGGGCAUAUUUUGUUCCGAUUUGUAUCUCUGACAGUAUCAAUCAUUCAAAUAAAUGUUCAACCAA
rnacentral:lncRNA from 10 species